AUUGAACGCUGGCGGCAUGCUUUACACAUGCAAGUCGAACGGCAGCACGGGGGCAACCCUGGUGGCGAGUGGCGAACGGGUGAGUAAUGCAUCGGAACGUACCGUGUAAUGGGGGAUAACGUAGCGAAAGUUACGCUAAUACCGCAUACGCCCUGAGGGGGGAAANCGGGGGAUCGCAAGACCUCGCGUUAUACGAGCGGCCGAUGUCGGAUUAGCUAGUUGGUGGGGUAAAGACUCACCAAGGCGACGAUCCGUAGCGGGUCUGAGAGGAUGAUCCGCCACACUGGGACUGAGACACGGCCCAGACUCCUACGGGAGGCAGCAGUGGGGAAUUUUGGACAAUGGGGGCAACCCUGAUCUAGCCAUGCCGCGUGCGGGAAGAAGGCCUCGGUGUAACGACUUUCANCCGGAGAAACGACAUAGGUAAGUACCUACGUGUGGAGUGACGGUACCGGAAUAAGAAGACACGGCUAACUACGUAGCCAGCAG
rnacentral:rRNA from 1 species